CUGACUUAUAUUUUUGGGUUGAUUUCAGUGUGAAGAAACCAGAUAAUACAUUAACACGUGAUUCUUUGGAAGCGAUAAGUAAUAGGGCAGUGAUGACCCAGAUACAUCAUCCACAGGAAUUGAUCAGAACACAGUGCAAUGAGUCAGGAAAAAAAAUUAAAGUAAACUUGAAUGUCUUUCAGAUCAAAGAAACAGUGUAGUCACAGAAGAUGAAGGCUGAAAUGAAAGAGAAAAUAGAGUGAGGUAAUAACGAGAUGGCGGAGGUGAUGAACAAAGAAACUAUAACGUGCUCAAGGUCGUACAGAAACCUGUGGCAGAAGGCAGAGAAAGCACUAUUACUACAUGUGAUACUGAAACGAGUGAGGCAGUAGAUGAAAGGCACAGGGACUUUUCUGCCUGGAAGAGAUUUCUAUUAUAAAUUUUACCAAUUUUACGUCCUCUCGUGUACAAGAAAUUAAUGACAACUGUGUGUUUUUGAAGGUAGGUUAGAUGUAAAAGGAACCUGAUUAAGUGUUCAAUGUGUUGUAAGUAAUAACAUUUACACUUUUAAAACAAGUUUUGUAACACAGAUUUCUUCUUAGGUUGAUAUUUUGAUUUGCGUUCUUUUUAAUUGACACUGCAGAAUGGAUAUUUACAAUGCAUUUACCUCUGUGUUGCUGUAUAAGUAUCCAAUGUUGAAAUCCUUUCCUCGAUGAGCAGGGUAUAGACUAUGGUGAUUUAAAAAGUGUUUAGAACAGUAUCCAUGAGCGUACAGCUUUUAAAUUCUUAAUGAC
rnacentral:lncRNA from 1 species